ACUAGUUAAUUGUUCUUUCCCCAUUUCCCUGUGCUUGUGAGCUGUCGAGACAGGAACGGAAAUCCCCAUCGUGUCGUCGUCCUCCUCCCGCAGGCAUCUCUUCCUCCUGCUGGCUGCGACCCCGCGGCUCCCCACGAUUCCUUCGCUUCCAGCUCGAGGCCAAGCUCUGCUCUCUCUCUCUCUCCUCCCUCCGAUCCAUUCCCCGUGUUUUCAUUUCUUCCCAAGAGAAAGGGAGGCAUGGAGUCCGAUCCCAACAGUAAUCAGGAGCAGCAGCACCGCAUCUUGUUGCCUAGUGAUACUGAUAGUGCAACAGCAACAGAAGCAGCAGCAAAGGCCGACCACGGCGAACAAGAUGCCGAUCUCGAUCUGGAUCCCGUUGUGAUUGAAGGAGAAGAGGUCAAGGUGGAGAAGAAGAGGAGUAGCCGGAAAGUGCGGUUCAACGACUGCAGCCUCACCCAGGUCCUCGAGUUCCAGCCAAGCACCCAGGAGGACGCCAUUUCCCUGUGUGCCCAGCUUUGCACUUGGCUCUGUGGACAGAGGCCAGAAACAUAGGCAUGCAUGCCUGCUUCAAGGAGAAGAGGUCAAGGUGGAGAAGACAAGGAGUAUAUGCUUGUGUUGAUUCUUGGAGUUCACUCAUAUGGCAACAGCAAGAAGCCGGAAUUUAGCUGAAUGAGGGAUGGAGGGAUGGUCAGAGAUACAAAGAAACAUGCAUGGAUGUGUAUAUGUAUGGUCGCUCCAUUUCCUCGCAGGCAUCCAGCUAAUGCCUUUGCCUCAGUUUUGGUGGUCAGUGUAACUCCAUCUUGGCAAGUUUUUGUGUGAUUCAUUUACUCUGCUUCAACUUGAGUAACUAAUUCUUCUAUCAGAACGGAAGAUGACACCAAAAGCGCCUUCAAUAAUAGAAAAAUAUAAGGAAACUUCCUCAAAUUUGAUGGUAGUGGCCAAAGGAGAUGGUGGUCAAACCAUGGGCAAAGAGGAAGAGAUUGAGGGAGGCACUCCUCGUACAAUAGAUGCCAGGAAUGUUUCAUGCCAGUGUACAUCUUACAAGCCCUGUUUUGACAUGAGCAUUGCUGGCAGUCCAUGUCCGGCCCCACGCGAGGUCAGGUGAUCUGCAGCUACCAAUAUGAUAGUGGAGCUUCACAGAAAGGCAGAGGAUAAAGAACAGCAGGAUACCUGAUGCAAAUAUGCCUGGUUAAACUCCCAAAGUUGGGAACCUGCAGGCCGCAAACCAGUAGUAGUUACUGAACUCUGUUAAAAACAUAAUCGUCUUGGUGCCUUGUCUAGCUAUUUUACCUUCUGACAGGUUGCCUGCUCGUGGCUGUUGUAAGGUCAUUGUAAACCCCAGACUGUUAUUUUGAUAAUCUUCUGAUUUUGAAAAUUCUGUGGCACUGCAGCUGCAAAUCAAUUUUGUGAUGUGAGUGAACACAAGCUGUUUCUGGA